UACUGAAAAAGCCUCCGGCAUGACCAGCGGCCGCUGUAAAUGUUGAGCAGGCGGUGCCUUCCCUUAGGGCUAUGCUUCGCCCCAUCCGCCCCUCGCUCAGCUGCAGCUUAUCGGGGUCUUCCUCUGCCAAAUGAAACAGUUCAGCCCCCGAGCCUUAUCUGGGAAAAACAUGAUUUACAGGAGAUGACAGGACCUUUCCCAUUCCACCCAACAAGCAGCUGCUUGGGGAAUGCAACUGGAGACACACCGACGAGCGCCAGAGGUUUUUAGGGAGGGCAGACAGUUUCUAAUCCUCUGACCACAUCAUACGGGAGGGAAAAAGGCAUUGGCAGCUCCCGAGGACGGAGAGAGACAGCGAAAGAGGGAGAGGAAGCGCAAUAUGUGUUUAUUCUCAGGAAUGAAGACGGCAAGGAAUGUGUAAUUCUGCAAGGGGGAUCAUAGCCGUGGCGUCCUCUAAUCGCGAGUCUCGCCCAGGGCAGCUCUGCCUACGGGAUUGGUAUUUUGGAGCAGCAAACAUGCGAUCGGGUGGCGGAACGCAAU